rnacentral:misc_RNA from 1 species
CGACAAUGGUUCACGGCCACCCAGAGCGCCGUGCACGAGCCCGAAGCGAUGACGCUCUCCACCGCGACCGCCGCCGGCGUGCCCUCUUCGCGCACAGUGCUCCUCAAGCAGGUCGACGCACACGGCUUCGUCUUCUUCACCAAUUACGCCUCGCGCAAGUCGCGCGAGCUCACCGAGAACCCACGCGCUGCGCUCAGCUUCUACUGGCGUGAGG